rnacentral:sRNA from 1 species
GAUAUCAGGGUCAAAAGGUCUGAACUCACAUGAGCUUGCUCAUAAGUGGGUGAAAGACCUUGGAACCCGCAAAACAUGAGGAAGUAGCGAUUUACGCAGUAAAUCAGCGGAUUCCGAAUGUUUUAGAAUUACAGGAGCUGCUUUGGCAGCGAAGUAAUUCGUAGAUAUC